rnacentral:rRNA from 1 species
GAUGAACGCUGGCGGCGUGCCUAAUACGUGCAAGUCGAGCGAAUGGAUUAAGAGCUUGCUCUUAUGAAGUUAGCGGCGGACGGGUGAGUAACACGUGGGUAACCUGCCCAUAAGACUGGGAUAACUCCGGGAAACCGGGGCUAAUACCGGAUAACAUUUUGAACCGCAUGGUUCGAAAUUGAAAGGCGGCUUCGGCUGUCACUCAUGGAUGGACCCGCGUCGCAUUAGCUAGUUGGUGAGGUAACGGCUCACCAAGGCAACGAUGCGUAGCCGACCGGAGAGGGUGAUCGGCCACACUGGGACUGAGACACGGCCCAGACCCCUACGGGAGGCAGCAGUAGGGAAUCUUCCGCAAUGGACGAAAGUCUGACGGAGCAACGCCGCGUGAGUGAUGAAGGCUUUCGGGUCGCAAAACUCUGUUGUUAGGGAAGAACAAGUGCUAGUUGAAUAAGCUGGCACCUUGACGGUACCUAACCAGAAAGCCACGGCUAACUACGUGCCAGCCGCCGCCGUAA